rnacentral:rRNA from 1 species
UAUUGUAGCCAACCUUUUUAUCAAUGUCCAGUCUCGUCUGAUCUCAGAAGCCAAGGACAGCCAAGCCUGGUCAGUACUUGAAUGGAAGAUCACUGGGAUACCAAGUGCCACUGUGG